rnacentral:tRNA from 1 species
GGUUUUGUAGCUCAGUUGAUACAGAGCUUGUCGUGUUGAGGCAUGCUGUGCCCAUCACUGGUUCGAAUCCAGCCGAAACCC